CCCUUAGAUGUUCUGGGCGGCCCGCGCACUACAAUGGCGUGUGCAGCGAGUGCCGAAGUAGAGUUUUCCGAGGUAUUCUUGCAAUGCUCGUUUUGAUGGGGAUAGACCCUUGCAACUGUUUGUUUUGAACGAGGAAUUCCUUGUAAGCAUGGUUUAUCAUCCGACGCUGAAUGCGUCCCUGCCCUUUGUACACACCGCCCGUCGCUCCUACCGAUGAGUCGUCCGGUGAAGUUCGUAGACCUCGUGAUCGCGGAUCACUGGGGGAAGCAAAAUGAACCUCGCGGUUUAGAGGAAGGAGAAGUCGUAACA
rnacentral:rRNA from 1 species